AAGCAAUUGAGCGAGAGUUUGAUUCAACUUCAAAUUCAAAAUCAUUUUUUAGUUUAUUCUUAUCCUCAUAUAUAUAUGUUAAACGCGAAGAGAAGACCAAAAAAAUUGUUAAACGCAAAGAGAAGAUGAGAGAAGAAGAGUAGCAAGUCUUGGUAGAGGGAGUAGUUGGCGCUGGCAAGGGAAAGACUCCCUCCAGCGACUUUGUAGAGAUGAAGUAAACCACAGCGAAAAAAGAAAGGUCGACGGAAGAAGGAGAAGAGGGUGGUGAGAAUGACAGCAAUGGUCACAGAGAAGGAAGCUAAGUCUACAGAGAAAAGAAGAGGAAUGAGGCGAUGGCGGUGAUGGAGUCCAUCGUCGCUGUUCGAUCCGCAGAGCUACGUCCUCCGCAGGACGGUGUCGCAGCCAUUUCUUUGCUGGUGGGUGCUGCGAAUGAAGAAUGAAGAGAGAUUAUGAGAUGUCGACGUCAACAAUGGUGGAGCUAGCCUCCUAUCCUCGCCAAUGACACCUAUGGAAUGAUGCAACAAAAGAGUGGAGCCACAGAGACAAGCUUUUGGUGGUUUGAAGUCACUCUCUCAAAGCAUCAGAAGUGGCCAAGGAAAAAACAAUCAUUUUAGGACUGGAAUCUUAGCAGCAAGAU